rnacentral:rRNA from 1 species
UGAGGAAUAUUGGUCAAUGGACGAGAGUCUGAACCAGCCAAGUAGCGUGCAGGAUGACGGCCCUCCGGGUUGUAAACUGCUUUUAGUUGGGAAUAAAAAAGGUGACGUGUCAUCUAUUGUAUGUACCAUCAGAAAAAGGACCGGCUAAUUCCGUGCCAGCAGCCGCGGUAAUACGGAAGGUCCAGGCGUUAUCCGGAUUUAUUGGGUUUAAAGGGAGCGUAGGCGGAGAGAUAAGUCAGCGGUAAAUCGUGCGGCUCAACCGUACCUCGCCGUUGAUACUGUUUUUCUUGAGUGCACACAGGGAUGCUGGAAUUCGUCGUGUAGCGGUGAAAUGCAUAGAUAUCACUCAGAACACCGAUUGCGAAGGCAUCUCGCGAGGGGUCAAUUGACGCUG